AACCUUCGCUUUCUUCCUUGAAUUUCAUCUCUAUUCCAAUUUGGGAAUUUCUUGAAUUUUUACUGCUUGGUAAUUAAUUUUGCCUUUUUACUGCAAUGAAAAAUGGUGAGCUUGGUUUGAUGCAUCCUUGUUCAUGGUUUAACAUCUUAUUACAGAGGGUUUUGGUGGUUUGGCUUGAUGCAAGUUGGUACAGUCAUGGUGUUGCAAGGCAAGCAAGGCAUGUGUUUCAAAUAUAAAAUGGAUUAUGGUAUACAUUUGGUUCAAUUUUGGCCUGUGCAUGAUGGCAUGGUAGGGAGAAUGUUGAUGUUACUAACUUGUGAACAUGUUCAGUUAAGUCUCAAUGUUGCUGAAUUUCCAGGAUUUUAUAGCAGUGUUUACAUGC